AGAUUGAACGCUAGCGGGAUGCUUUACACAUGCAAGUCGAACGGCAGCGCGGACUUCGGUCUGGCGGCGAGUGGCGAACGGGUGAGUAAUAUAUCGGAACGUGCCCAGUAGCGGGGGAUAACUACGCGAAAGCGUGGCUAAUACCGCAUACGCCCUACGGGGGAAGGGGGGAUUCUUCGGAACCUCUCACUAUUGGAGCGGCCGAUAUCAGAUUAGCUAGUUGGUGAGGUAAAGGCUCACCAAGGCGACGAUCUGUAGCUGGUUUGAGAGGACGACCAGCCACACUGGGACUGAGACACGGCCCAG
rnacentral:rRNA from 1 species